rnacentral:rRNA from 1 species
UAAUACCUGAUAAGCCCACGGUGUCCUUGGACGCUGCAGGAAAAGGGGGGGACCUUCGGGCCUUCCGUCACCAGAUGAGUCUGCGUACCAUUAGCUAGUUGGUAGGGUAAAGGCCUACCAAGGCGACGAUGGUUAGCUGGUCUGAGAGGAUGAUCAGCCACACUGGAACUGAGACACGGUCCAGACUCCUACGGGAGGCAGCAGUGGGGAAUUUUGCGCAAUGGGGGAAACCCUGACGCAGCAACGCCGCGUGAGUGAUGAAGGCUCUUGGGUCGUAAAGCUCUGACAGAGGGAAAGAAGUGUGUUGUGGCUAAUAUCCACGAUACUUGACGGUACCCUCAAAGGAAGCACCGGCUAACUCCGUGCCAGCAGCCGCGGUAAUACGGGGGGUGCAAGCGUUGUUCGGAUUUAUUGGGCGUAAAGCGCGUGUAGGCGGUUUGUUAAGUCUGUUGUGAAAGCCCUGGGCUCAACCCGGGAAGUGCACUGGAUACUGGCAAACUUGAAUACGGGAGAGGAGAGUGGAAUUCCUGGUGUAGGAGUGAAAUCCGUAGAUAUCAGGAGGAACACCGGUGGCGAAGGCGGCUCUCUGGACCGAUAUUGACGCUGAGACGCGAAAGCGUGGGUAGCAAACAGGAUUAGAUACCCUGGUAGUCCACGCCGUAAACGAUGAGAACUAGGUGUCGCGGGUA